rnacentral:rRNA from 1 species
UUAAGCGACUAAGCGUACACGGUGGAUGCCCUGGCAGUCAGAGGCGAUGAAGGACGUGCUAAUCUGCGAUAAGCGUCGGUGAGGUGAUAUGAACCGUUAUAACCGGCGAUUUCCGAAUGGGGAAACCCAGUGUGCUUCGACACACUAUCAUUAACUGAAUCCAUAGGUUAAUGAGGCGAACCGGGGGAACUGAAACAUCUAAGUACCCCGAGGAAAAGAAAUCAACCGAGAUUCCCCCAGUAGCGGCGAGCGAACGGGGAGGAGCCCAGAGCCUGAAUCAGUGUGUGUGUUAGUGGAAGCGUCUGGAAAGGCGCGCGAUACAGGGUGACAGCCCCGUACACAAAAAUGCACAUAUUGUGAGCUCGAUGAGUAGGGCGGGACACGUGGUAUCCUGUCUGAAUAUGGGGGGACCAUCCUCCAAGGCUAAAUACUCCUGACUGACCGAUAGUGAACCAGUACCGUGAGGGAAAGGCGAAAAGAACCCCGGCGAGGGGAGUGAAAAAGAACCUGAAACCGUGUACGUACAAGCAGUGGGAGCCUCUUAAUGGGGUGACUGCGUACCUUUUGUAUAAUGGGUCAGCGACUUAUAUUCUGUAGCAAGGUUAACCGAAUAGGGGAGCCGAAGGGAAACCGAGUCUUAACUGGGCGUUAAGUUGCAGGGUAUAGACCCGAAACCCGGUGAUCUAGCCAUGGGCAGGUUGAAGGUUGGGUAACACUAACUGGAGGACCGAACCGACUAAUGUUGAAAAAUUAGCGGAUGACUUGUGGCUGGGGGUGAAAGGCCAAUCAAACCGGGAGAUAGCUGGUUCUCCCCGAAAGCUAUUUAGGUAGCGCCUCGUGAAUUCAUCUCCGGGGGUAGAGCACUGUUUCGGCAAGGGGGUCAUCCCGACUUACCAACCCGAUGCAAACUGCGAAUACCGGAGAAUGUUAUCACGGGAGACACACGGCGGGUGCUAACGUCCGUCGUGAAGAGGGAAACAACCCAGACCGCCAGCUAAGGUCCCAAAGUCAUGGUUAAGUGGGAAACGAUGUGGGAAGGCCCAGACAGCCAGGAUGUUGGCUUAGAAGCAGCCAUCAUUUAAAGAAAGCGUAAUAGCUCACUGGUCGAGUCGGCCUGCGCGGAAGAUGUAACGGGGCUAAACCAUGCACCGAAGCUGCGGCAGCGACACUAUGUGUUGUUGGGUAGGGGAGCGUUCUGUAAGCCUGUGAAGGUGGCCUGUGAGGGUUGCUGGAGGUAUCAGAAGUGCGAAUGCUGACAUAAGUAACGAUAAAGCGGGUGAAAAGCCCGCUCGCCGGAAGACCAAGGGUUCCUGUCCAACGUUAAUCGGGGCAGGGUGAGUCGACCCCUAAGGCGAGGCCGAAAGGCGUAGUCGAUGGGAAACAGGUUAAUAUUCCUGUACUUGGUGUUACUGCGAAGGGGGGACGGAGAAGGCUAUGUUGGCCGGGCGACGGUUGUCCCGGUUUAAGCGUGUAGGCUGGUUUUCCAGGCAAAUCCGGAAAAUCAAGGCUGAGGCGUGAUGACGAGGCACUACGGUGCUGAAGCGACAAAUGCCCUGCUUCCAGGAAAAGCCUCUAAGCAUCAGGUAACAUCAAAUCGUACCCCAAACCGACACAGGUGGUCAGGUAGAGAAUACCAAGGCGCUUGAGAGAACUCGGGUGAAGGAACUAGGCAAAAUGGUGCCGUAACUUCGGGAGAAGGCACGCUGAUAUGUAGGUGAAGCGACUUGCUCGUGGAGCUGAAAUCAGUCGAAGAUACCAGCUGGCUGCAACUGUUUAUUAAAAACACAGCACUGUGCAAACACGAAAGUGGACGUAUACGGUGUGACGCUGCCCGGUGCCGGAAGGUUAAUUGAUGGGGUUAGCGGUAACGCGAAGCUCUUGAUCGAAGCCCCGGUAAACGGCGGCCGUAACUAUAACGGUCCUAAGGUAGCGAAAUUCCUUGUCGGGUAAGUUCCGACCUGCACGAAUGGCGUAAUGAUGGCCAGGCUGUCUCCACCCGAGACUCAGUGAAAUUGAACUCGCUGUGAAGAUGCAGUGUACCCGCGGCAAGACGGAAAGACCCCGUGAACCUUUACUAUAGCUUGACACUGAACAUUGAGCCUUGAUGUGUAGGAUAGGUGGGAGGCUUUGAAGUGUGGACGCCAGUCUGCAUGGAGCCGCCUUGAAAUACCACCCUUUAAUGUUUGAUGUUCUAACGUUGGCCCGUAAUCCGGGUUGCGGACAGUGUCUGGUGGGUAGUUUGACUGGGGCGGUCUCCUCCUAAAGAGUAACGGAGGAGCACGAAGGUUGGCUAAUCCUGGUCGGACAUCAGGAGGUUAGUGCAAUGGCAUAAGCCAGCUUGACUGCGAGCGUGACGGCGCGAGCAGGUGCGAAAGCAGGUCAUAGUGAUCCGGUGGUUCUGAAUGGAAGGGCCAUCGCUCAACGGAUAAAAGGUACUCCGGGGAUAACAGGCUGAUACCGCCCAAGAGUUCAUAUCGACGGCGGUGUUUGGCACCUCGAUGUCGGCUCAUCACAUCCUGGGGCUGAAGUAGGUCCCAAGGGUAUGGCUGUUCGCCAUUUAAAGUGGUACGCGAGCUGGGUUUAGAACGUCGUGAGACAGUUCGGUCCCUAUCUGCCGUGGGCGCUGGAGAACUGAGGGGGGCUGCUCCUAGUACGAGAGGACCGGAGUGGACGCAUCACUGGUGUUCGGGUUGUCAUGCCAAUGGCACUGCCCGGUAGCUAAAUGCGGAAGAGAUAAGUGCUGAAAGCAUCUAAGCACGAAACUUGCCCCGAGAUGAGUUCUCCCUGACCCUUUAAGGGUCCUGAAGGAACGUUGAAGACGACGACGUUGAUAGGCCGGGUGUGUAAGCGCAGCGAUGCGUUGAGCUAACCGGUACUAAUGAACCGUGAGGCUUAACCUU